UGAAAUUCUCCACUCUUAUCCAAUGCCAAAAAUGGAUGAACAUUAUACUACUUUGGAUGUGUCCAUGGGAAUUUACAUUUGGUUGGCUAUUCAGUCAUGUAUACGAAUUGGGAAGUAACUAUUCCUCUUGGAGCCUAAAGUAUCGCAUUGAUCUACGUGAACAACCUUCACGAGAAAUGGUUUAUAGUACUAGAUGUCCAGGAGAUUCGUCUUUUCUUGAAUUUACAUUUAAUGUGAUUUCUCUUAUGGCUAGCGAAGGGAAUCAGGAACCAUAUUUGGCCCUCUACAAGCCCCGCAAAGUUAAAUUCUUCGACUUACAGCACGUCGUCAUUGCCUUCAGUUCAUCAUUUGAUUGAGAAUCCAUUCUGGAUAGGAAGCAGACUGAGUACCAAAAAGGCAAAAACCAGUAAUUCUAUAGGGAAUGUGUCCGACAUUUCAGGAUUUACAAUCUUUGUUUUAUCAUUUAUGUCUCUUUUUUUCACUUUUCUUCUUCUGGUGAAGACAGCAAUAUUAACUUUGAGUCAAAUUAAUUUCCAUGUCAUCUUCUUGAGGAUAAGACAGUCAGAACUUUUUACUUUGAAUCAUUCGGGAGGUCCUGCCCAUUGUCCUACUUAUAUAGAUGACUUUGUUUUGUAAAGAGUGAUAUGUAUGAAUGUUUAAUCUGCUUAUUUCAUAAAACGGUACAGAUCCAAUUUUCUUUGAAGGUGAUUUUUAUCAGAUUGUAUAAUGGUUGAGUAUUCGUCGGUAAGGUGUUGCAGUUUUAUUUCUCGGAUCAUAUUGGUACUUUUCAUUAGCCAACAUGCUCUUUUACGCCCCAAAAUAUUGGUGUGGCCGAAAGGAAAAAUCACCUCAUUCUCGAACAAUGUACCUAUUUUUAUACUUCAAAACUCCUUUAGUAUACAUUUCUGCCUUAGCACUUUGACCUAGUGAGUGUUUUAUACCUAUCUCAUAGCUCAAGUUGCUACUUAACCUAAAUGUUGUCUGGCUUCAUCUUAAAACAAGCAAUAAUAUUCUCAGUUUUAUGUAUCAUACUCUAAGAAUGAAAAGAAUGAACGAAAUCUUCUCCAGUAUUAUACUAAGAAUUAUGAGGCUCCAUCUCUUAAAAGGUUUUAACCUAUUGAUUGAUUAGGCCUUCAAGACGUAUUUGCUAUAUAAUGACAAAGCUGGAUCUAUCUAUGAACACCUGGCUAUGUAUUUGACUUUUACCUGUUUUCGUUAUUUCCAUUCUCCUACUGUUAAACAGGAUCUGUUGAAGUACGAUCUACAUAUAUAUAUAAACUAGGAAAAACAUGAAAGUGAGAAUCCAACAAAGUACUUGCUUAUGUUUAUGUUAACCUCUUGUUAACAUUCAAGUGUUUAUUUGGAAAAGUUCUUUACAAAAUUCUUUACAUUGUAGCUCAUCAGUGAGCAGAAUUUGCCUUUGAUUCUUUAUAUUUUCAAUCAGUUGUUUCAUUUACAAAGCAUGUAUCUAGGAGACUAAUCUGUCGACUAACACUAAAAGUUGUAUGUACAUGUGGUAGAGAUUCCUUUCUUAUAAAGAAGCUUAAGAAUAUAGCUGAAAGUCGUGUAUCAAUGUUUCCCUGACUUCCAUUCUUUGAUAGCAGAGAGAAGUGUGUAAUUUGCCAGCAGUUGUUUAUGUGGUAAUGGUGAAUUCGUCACUGGUGAAUGAUCGUUGUCCUUUAGCCAUGACUCUAUUGCCUUCCGGUCAUAAGUGUAUCCAUCAGCCGCAACACAAGGGUCAUGCAUCACUUCCUGUAGCAGAGUUUCCCUUUAGUAAAUGAAGCAAAGAGCAGGUACUGACUUUGUAAUAUGCAUUAUAGAUAUAGCCUAAUGUAAAUUAGACCUGCUUUAUAUUUUUUCUUGGCUGCAUAUUUACUGUCAAAAAUCAGACCGAAAUAUUACUAACAAAUAUAAGUGUACCUUGAGUAUGGGGCAUUUGAAGUGGCUAGGAGAUGGAGAUAGGAUAUAUAUCAAAUCUCGAGCUCUAUCAGCGACUUCUUUCAAUCUCUCUAAAGCAGGGAGAACUUCAUCUUUCAAGUCAGGUCUGUCUCUACGUCGAAGCUCAGUGCAUUUUAUAGCAAGCACAGCCAAUUCCUUUGUCUCUUCAAUAGGCCAUUCACCGGCUUCUUGAUCCAGCAACUCCACUAAGUUAUUGUCUUCGAUUGCCAUUUCUACCAUAUGGGCUAAAGCUAUGGCACGUUUCGCAGUAAGCAACUGCAGAAUGACCAUUCCAAAAGCAUAAACAUCAGAUUUUGUAGAGACUAAUCCUGUCCUUUGAUACUCAGGAUCUAUAUAGCAAAGUGUGCCAACUGGACUCGUGUCUUUGUAUGCCGUCAUUGCUGAGGAAGAGUCUGAGUGAACCAUUGUUGAAAGUCCAACAUCUCCUAUUUUGCUCACCAAGUUAUGAUCAAGCAGUAUGUUAGCUGGCUUUAAAUCACGGUGUAUGAUCGGUUUUGGCUUCGUGUAAUGAAGGAAAACAAGAGCAGAAGCAACUUCCCAAGCUAUCCGAACCCUGUCAAACCAUGCAAGUGGCGGUGUUUUGUUUUUCCUUAUCAACCUAUCCUCCAAACUUCCAUUCUCCAUGUACUCGUAUACUAGGCAACCGCGUUCAGGGCAUGCGCCAAGUAGAAUUAACAAGUGAGGGUGAUGAAUUGUGCUCAAUAUUUCAAGCUGUAAAAUAAUUCAAAAAAAUGUAGUUAGUUGUAUUCAAAGCCUGAUUUGAGUAGUGGCAGAGGCAAAACCAGGAUUUGAUAUUUAUGGGUUCAGGAUUCUGGACCUUUUAAAUGACUGUGUUCUAAACUAAUAAAAGUGGAUUUCUUAAGAUAAAUAUAGAGUUUGGAUCAAAGUUACUGGGUUCGGCCGAACUCAUACUUUGGUUCAGGGUUUGGGGUGAAACUAGUACACUUUAUUCAAAACUCCUUUAUGCAUUCUUGUUUACUUAUUUCUCAGUUUAGAUAUUUCUCAUACCUCUUGUUGAAAUUGCUUAGUUCUAUGAGCCUCGGUGGAAUGAAGAACUUUCACUGCUGCAGUUGUAUGAUGCAAAUAGCACUUGUAAACCAUUCCAUAUGAUCCCAUUCCUAUCUUAAGAUCCUCAGAGAAAGAUGCGCUAGCCGUCAUGAUCUCUUCCCACGUGAAUUUCUGGUAGUGAUGGAGAGGUAGUAUUAAUGAUUUCUCAAGCUUUUCUUUAGCUCUAGCCUCCCGGUUUGCAAUGCUUUCUGCUGCUCUUCUUUUCUCAACUUCUCUUUCAGCACAUUCCAUUGCAUAGUCAGCUUCCUUCUUUGCUGCUUCACAUUUUAACUUCUCUUGUUCUGCAAAUUCUUUGGCUUCCUCCUCCUUAAGGUUUAUCUCCAUCAGCUUAUUCGCUUCAUCCACUCGAAGCUUCUGAAAUUCAUUCAGCUGACAAAAAACAGAACCAAUGAGAAUAGGCAUUCAUAUAAGUUAGCAGUGUAGUCCACAAGUGGGGUCUGAGAAGGGUAGUGGUUCCGAUAUUUGCCACAAAUUCAGUUUGAAAUUAAAAUUACCUUCCGAGAAGCAUCUAUUGCCUCAGUUUGAGCUAUUGCAUACAUUCCUUGAAUAUGUUUGAGCUCAAUUCUCAGUUUUUCUAGGUCAUAAUUGAUGUUAACCUGCAUAUAUGUAAGAACUUUAGUGUUGAAAUUCAUAAAAAGAACUAGGUCAUUUUUAGGUAACUGCUACCACAUAAUAUGACUAUGCAUAAAACUGCUAAACCAAGACAUCCUAAGAUACACUAAUCCUUAAGAAAGUUGCUGGAGGCAAUAGGAAGCUCCUCAUAUAAGCAAAGUGAAUGUAUAUUACUGCAUGUUAAAUGAAAGAAGGCAUAAUUGGGCAGCCUGGUGCACAAGACAUCCCGCGUUCGCGCAGUGUCCGGGAAAGGGCCGCACACCAAAGGGUGAGAUGUAGACAGCCUACCUAAUGCAAGCAUUAGUGGCUGCUUCCACAGCUUGAAUCCGUGACCCAUAGGUCACACGGAGACAACUUUACAGUUACUCCAAGGCUUCCCUUCAAAGAAAGUAUAAUUGAAAGAAGAAUAUGAUCACCUGACUUCCAGAUGAAGAAUCUGUUGGAGCAUCUGAGUUGGAAGACUGACUUGUAGACCAUUGUUGAUUGUCUAAUUUUGCUUUCUUGAAACUUGAAUUAAGACUAUUUGGAUCAGUAAUUCCUGAGCUACUGAAAUAGCAACUUUUGUCAUCCUCAGCUUCUCCGGUAGCAAUAGUCAUAGCUCUAGGAUGGAUGACUUCAUUCAGAUUUGCUCUUUUAGUAUUGUUUUUAAUUGAGAGGGCUUGAAAUGCUUCUCCAAUGUCGAUAGAUGAAGUUCUAGAUUGGAUGGUUUCACCAAUAUUUGUUCUUUUAUGGAGAAGUGUCUGCAGGGCAUGGUGUGUUGGGGAUUUUGAUUGAUAGCGUUGCAAUUUACGAGUAGGAGAAUACAAAUGAGAGUAUGAAGCAGGUGAAGUUGAGCUGUGAUCCGUCCUCUCUGAGAAUUAAAGGACAAGAUAUUAAUGUUAUGACAAUAAUUGAAUAGGUACAACUUUCUUUUAAGAUUCUUGUUUAUGACAUAUACAAUUAGACAUCUCUAUAACAGUCAUCUUCUAUAACAAUAUUUCAUUAUAACGGCCAAGUUUUCUUUGAAACGUACUUUUCAUGUUAUGUUAUGUUAUAUGUUCUGUAUUACAGCAUUUUGCUACAGCAGCCAAUAAUUUUCCGAACAAACUAUGCCAUUAUAGUGAGGUUUGACUGCUUCUGUUUUCCUCAGGAUGGACCUAUCAAAUCAUUGAGAUUUUCAAAUGUCUCCAACUUCUAGCUGGUAUUAAGUAUCUUCUAUUGGUUCUCACUUCAUCACUUGUUCACAUUGUUUUAAUGUAGUUUGUUGUAGCCUUCAUUAAUUCAUAUGAAAGUGAACACAUAUAUGAAUAAGAAAUUUGUACCUCC
rnacentral:lncRNA from 1 species